rnacentral:rRNA from 1 species
CCUACGGGUGGCAGCAGUGGGGGAUAUUGGACAAUGGGGGGAACCCUGAUCCAGCGACGCCGCGUGAGUGAAGAAGCAUUUCGGUAUGUAAAGCUCUGUCAGCAGGGAAGAAAGCAAUGACGGUACCUGAACAAGAAGCCCCGGCCAACUACGUGCCAGCAGCCGCGGUACUACGUAGGGGGCAAGCGUUAUCCGGAAUUACUGGGUGUAAAGGGAGCGUAGACGGCUGUGCAAGUCUGGAGUGAAAGGCGGGGGCCCAACCCCCGGACUGCUCUGGAAACUGUGUGGCUGGAGUGCAGGAGAGGUAAGCGGAAUUCCGAGUGUAGCGGUGAAAUGCGUAGAUAUUAGGAGGAACACCAGUGGCGAAGGCGGCUUACUGGACUGUAACUGACGUUGAGGCUCGAAAGCGUGGGGAGCAAACAGGAUUAGAUACCCGGGUAGUC